rnacentral:rRNA from 1 species
CCAAAGCAAUUUGGUUUUGGUGGAGCCGCCUUCCUUUUUGUGGGCUUACGCCUGGUCUUGUUGUUUACUCAGCGGGAUCAGGUGCCACUCAGUCACUGAGAGCAAAUUGGAGUGCUCAAAGCAGGCUUUAUAGCUUUGAACAUUUUAGCUUGGAAUGACAAAAUAUGACUUUUGUUUUAUUUUGUUGGUUAUGAAACGAGAGUAAUGAUUAACAGGAACAGUGCGGGGGUACUCGUAUUGAAAGGUCAGAGGUGAAAUUCUUGGAUUCUUUCAAGACGGACGACUGCGAAAGCAUUUACCAAGGAUGUUUUCAUUAAUCAAGAACGAAAGCUCGGGGAUCGAAGAUGAUUAGAUACCAUCGUAGUCCGACGCCAUAAACGAUGCCGACUCGGGAUUGUUGCGUCAUUCGAUUUCAAAGAAUCGCAGCAGUACCGUACGCUAAAGCUUUAAGUGUUUGGGUUCCGGGGGGAGUAUGGUCGCAAGGCUGAAACUUAAAGGAAUUGACGGAAGGGCACACCAGAGGUGGAGCCUGCGGUUUAAUUUGACUCAACACGGGGAAACUUACCAGGUCCAGACAUGAUGAGGAUUGACAGUUUGAAAGCACUUUCUUGAUUUCAUGGGUGGUGGUGCAUGGGCCGUUCUUAGUUGGUGGAGUGAUUUGUCUGGUUGAUUCCGAUAACGAACGAGACGGGGGAGGUUUACUAGUUCAGAGUAACUUGCGUUACUUUUGAGCUUCUUUACCUGACAACUUG